UACGUAGGGGGCUAGCGUUGUCCGGAAUCAUUGGGCGUAAAGAGCGUGUAGGCGGUCCGGUAAGUCCGCUGUGAAAGUCGGGGGCUCAACCCUCGAAUGCCGGUGGAUACUGUCGGGCUAGAGUGCGGAAGAGGCGAGUGGAAUUCCUGGUGUAGCGGUGAAAUGCGCAGAUAUCAGGAGGAACACCUAUUGCGAAGGCAGCUCGCUGGGACGUUACUGACGCUGAGGAGCGAAAGCAUGGGGAGCGAACAGG
rnacentral:rRNA from 1 species